rnacentral:piRNA from 2 species
UGGAUCCUAUACAUGCCUUUGGGAACC